UCAGCUACUUGAAGGACAGGUCACUAUAUGUGCAAACAGAGGAUGGUGUGACAUCACAUAUAGCGAUGAGA
rnacentral:lncRNA from 1 species